AGUCGAGCGGAACGAGUUAUCUGAACCUUCGGGGAACGAUAACGGCGUCGAGCGGCGGACGGGUGAGUAAUGCCUAGGAAAUUGCCCUGAUGUGGGGGAUAACCAUUGGAAACGAUGGCUAAUACCGCAUGAUGCCUACGGGCCAAAGAGGGGGACCUUCGGGCCUCUCGCGUCAGGAUAUGCCUAGGUGGGAUUAGCUAGUUGGUGAGGUAAGGGCUCACCAAGGCGACGAUCCCUAGCUGGUCUGAGAGGAUGAUCAGCCACACUGGAACUGAGACACGGUCCAGACUCCUACGGGAGGCAGCAGUGGGGAAUAUUGCACAAUGGGCGCAAGCCUGAUGCAGCCAUGCCGCGUGUAUGAAGAAGGCCUUCGGGUUGUAAAGUACUUUCAGUCGUGAGGAAGGCGGCGUCGUUAAUAGCGGCGUUGUUUGACGUUAGCGACAGAAGAAGCACCGGCUAACUCCGUGCCAGCAGCCGCGGUAAUACGGAGGGUGCGAGCGUUAAUCGGAAUUACUGGGCGUAAAGCGCAUGCAGGUGGUUUGUUAAGUCAGAUGUGAAAGCCCGGGGCUCAACCUCGGAAUAGCUUUGAAACUGGCAGACUAGAGUACUGUAGAGGGGGGUAGAAUUUCAGGUGUAGCGGUGAAAUGCGUAGAGAUCUGAAGGAAUAC
rnacentral:rRNA from 1 species